rnacentral:rRNA from 1 species
UACGUAGGGUGCGAGCGUUGUCCGGAAUUAUUGGGCGUAAAGAGCUCGUAGGCGGCUUGGCAAGUCGGGUGUGAAACCUCCAGGCUCAACCUGGAGACGCCACCCGAUACUGCCAUGGCUAGAGUCCGGUAGGGGACCACGGAAUUCCUAGUGUAGCGGUGAAAUGCGCAGAUAUCAGGAGGAACACCGGUGGCGAAGGCGGUGGUCUGGGCCGGAACUGACGCUGAGGAGCGAAAGCGUGGGGAGCGAACAGG